UCCAGCCCCAGCCAUACCACCUUGCAACCCGAGACCGGUUACUCACUUAAGCUAAGCAGGGCUAAGCCUGGUCAGUACCUGGAUGGGACACAUGGGAAAACUAAAUUGUUGUUGGAA
rnacentral:rRNA from 1 species